GGAUCAUACGAGUUUCCGAGUGGACAAGCUCAACAGCAACGGCGUCUCGGUGGAUCGCAGCAACACUUGGCUCCGCUCCAACAAACCGCCUCGUCACUUUACUCGAAUCCGCAAUCGUCGAGCUCACAACUUCUUGGUCAGCAGCAAGCCGUUCGUCCGAACUACGCUUAUCAGCAGUCUCUGCCACGCCAACAACACAUCAAUAGUCACCAGACCCAAGCGGUAAGAUCUUUUAUUUUAGACAGAAAAAUGGUCUUCAAAACAACUAAAAAAAUAUUUAUUUCAAAAAUUUGGGUUUCUUAUCAGCCAUUUACACUGAUGAAAUCGUCAUCUCCACGUGUGGUUGGACAGUUUUUAUAUUUUGAAAUUAAGAAAAAAAAAUCGAAAGUUUUCCUUAUAAGUUCCCCAAAUUAGACUCCGCCCAUAUCUUGGUUUGUUUUUUUUUAAUGAAAAGUAACAAAAUGUAGGUGGAGCUAUUUUGCAGAAGAUUUUUUUUUGUAAAAUCUUUUUAAAGGUGCGUGCUUUUUUCCUUAUGGGUCCUACCACGACUCUGAAGCAAAGUUUUGUUGAUCCCACUCCAGCUAGUACAAGAUCGUAUCAAGCAAGACCCAUGAUAAAAUUUAAUUUUUCAGUUUUUUGGAACAGUACGAGGACCGACGAACUCGACGAACAUUGUCACACCUCUACGCGCAUCAAAAACGAUGAUUGACGUGUUAGCACCUGUAAGGGAUACGGUAGCUGCACAAGCAACCGGACUACCAAAUGUUGGAACCAGCUCCUCAAAUG
rnacentral:sRNA from 1 species